CAGCCGCCGCGGUAACACGUAGGGGGGCAAGCGUUAUCCGGAAUUACUGGGUGUAAAGGGAGCGUAGACGGUUAAACAAGUCUGAAGUGAAAUGCCGGGGCUCAACCCCGGAGCUGCUUUGGGAACUGUAGAACUGGAGUGUCGGAGGGGUAAGCGGAAUUCCCAGUGUAGCGGUGAAAUGCGUAGAUAUUGGGAGGAACACCGGCGGCGAAGGCGGCUUACUGGACGACAACUGACGUUGAGGCUCGAAGGCGUGGGUAGCAAACAGGAUUAGAUACCCGUGUAGUCCCUGUCUCUUAUA
rnacentral:rRNA from 1 species